ACAGCCUCCUUUGUGUACCUCGCAUGGGAGAGUUCCGAGACCAAAGGUCUGACGGGGUAACACAAAGUCGGUAAAUAAAUGUUGAAAUAUUUUAAUGAAACGGUUUAUAAGAUGUAAUUAAAACAAAGAAAUUAUGAAUUUGUAAUGAAAGGUCCCCCUUACGCCCCACACAUGGGAACAGCUCCGCGACCAGAGGUCUGGUAAGGAAAUGCAAGGUGGAUAAUAUUUUUGAAAUUUCCGCCAGGACGUGACAUAAUCUAUUGUAAUCUCAUUGUUUAUUAAAAUUUAUAAUCUUCUUGUUUAUUGAUUCUACAGAAAGAUACUAGUUUGCAAAGUUUUUGACUCAUCAGUUGUUCCUUGAGAGUAAACAAAUUCAUAAAAUGCUGUUGUGUAAGCAAUUUAGUCAAUUGUAUGAAUCAUUCUUGUUAUACUUUGAUACAAAGCAUCUUUGUGGUGCAUUCAGAAAAACUCGGAUCCUCCGUAUUUACCGUGAAUAACGAGAAAACGGUGUACUUUGUGUCUCUGAGCCGCUAAUUAACACAGGGAAAGACGGAAGAGCCACUCAAGCUCGAAUGUACAAGCAAGUUACAUUUAUGCAACGAAAUAAUGAGCCAAGUGCUCGAGUUUCUUUAGUGGAUAUCUUUUGCAUCCAAAACCAAAAAAUUUCUUUCAUAAAUUACUAAGACAGAAUUUUAAAAAAAUCUACAAAAAAUCUUUCUACAAUUAUUAAUUAUUUAUUAUGUUCUAUAGAAAUAUGAAUAAUAAUAUUGAUAGGAUCUUCUUUGAGAAACUAAUGGAUGAAAGUGAAAUCAUUUUGAAGUAACAUGGAAACACGUAGUCCAAUUAAUUCAGGGUCAUUUUGACCCAAUUAUAAAAAUAACAAUCAACCAUCCUCUAAGAAUUAAAUAUGUAUUAACUACUGACCAAUGAAUUAGUAUUUGAAAUUUAAAUGCAAAAAGUUUAAAAUGUCACUCAUACUCACUGUGAAGUGAUGUUGUCAAUCUCUGAGCUGGUACUGUAUACAGUAGAUUGAAUGGGGAAGAGUUUUAUGAGAUAUGUCCCCACUCUGGAUCCAAUUGUAGGUCACAGACGUUUUGAUCACCACAUAGUAGUGAUCAAUCAUGCUAUUUUCAGAGAAUUAAAAGAAACAAGUCAAUUCCUUUCCAUAUUUUAUGUUAAAAUUGCUUUUCUGAAUUACAUAUCAAUUAGAAUAUUGAUUUUCUUCUUAUAGCAGGAGUUGCAUUAGUAAUAAUUAAUUUAGAAUAGCUUUCUGGUUUUAUCCUCCAGCUAUAAUUGCACUUUGCUUUUGUAGAAAAAUAGAAGAAUAAUAAAAAAAUAUGAUUUUUCAUGAAUAUUGUUUAUUAAAAUAUAAAACGUGUGAUAUUUUACAAUAUUAAAUUUGUUAAUUGUCCUAAUAAUACCUUGUUAUCUGAUAAUACCAUGAUGUAAUUCUCUAGACUUUGUACAAUUUUUUUCUUCUGCAACAACUGAUUUAUUUAUGCUCAUUUAAAGAACAUUUUAAGAUGCGGGUACCACACGAUUUCGUUACACCGCUGCUUAUGAUGAGUCAUCUACGUCCAUAAGUGAAUCAAGUUGACGUUCUGAGAAUCGCUACAGUACCACGUACAGUUUUAUUCUAUAUUUUUUGUUCUUCGUAGCGACGUAACUUAAUUUAUACGUUACAAGAUAAAAGAUAACGUCAUACAUACUGCGGAAAAAUAACAGUACAAAUUUGUAAUGUCUAAUGUUAUUAAAUAAAUCCUAGUGAAAGUAUUUUGACGGAGUCGACACCGAGGGAUGUUUUCAAAUGAAAUAUCGUCGUUUAUUUGAUAUAAUAAAAGUACAAAAGAUAUAUUUUAAUAAGCGUGUAAAUUGUUCAGUGAUAUGUACAAAUGGCAGUAACGGUAUAUCCUUAGCUGAAUUUAUAUUAAUACCAAAUAUUCUACCUCUGUUUGAAAAACGCAGCGCUAACGAGAUACUACAAGUAAUAAAAAAAUAAUUUUCCUAUUUGAUAUGUAGUAAGAUGUCUAAAGGCACUUAUGAUCCCACGUUUUGAUUUCCAUUCAUAAAUGAUAAACUAUAAAAAGUAAGUUAAAGUAAAAAUCCUAAGGAGUAUAGUGUAUUGUCAUACUGCCUUAUUCAUAAUUUUGCCCUUUUUUUAUGUAGCAAAUAUAAACCACUGAAGUAUC